GCUUACGGCCAUAUCAGCCUGGGUACGCCCGAUCUCGUCUGAUCUCGGAAGCUAAGCAGGGUCUGGUCUGGUUAGUACUUGGAUGGGAGACCGCCUGGGAAUACCAGGUGCUUUAAGCA
rnacentral:rRNA from 1 species